GAUGAAGAACGCAGCGAAAUGCGAUAAGUAAUGCGAAUUGCAGAAUUCAGUGAAUCAUCGAAUCUUUGAACGCACAUUGCGCCCCUUGGUAUUCCAUGGGGCAUGCCUGUUCGAGCGUCAUUUGUACCUUCAAGCUCUGCUUGGUGUUGGGUGUUUUGUCUCGCCUCUGCGUGUAGACUCGCCUUAAAACAAUUGGCAGCCGGCGUAUUGAUUUCGGAGCGCAGUACAUCUCGCGCUUUGCACUCAUAACGGCGACGUCCAAAAGUACAUUUUUACACUCUUGACCUCGGAUCAGGUAGGGAUACCCGCUGAACUUAAGCAUAUCAAUAAGCGGAGGA
rnacentral:misc_RNA from 1 species